UUUGUACUCCCUCCGUUUGAAAUUACUUGUCUCGAAAAUGGAUGUAUCUAGACCUAAAAUACAUCUAGAUACAUCCAUUUCUUUGACAAGUAAUUUCGAACGGAGGGAGUACUUU
rnacentral:pre_miRNA from 1 species